GAAAGACACAAUUUAAGUCUUUGCAAUUGGAGCUUUUCUUUAUUUUGAGAGUACAAUUCACUGCAUAAAUAGUUUUAUAUCUUUGUCUCUUUCUUCUUCAAAAUUGCAUUUAAUAUCAAAGGACGUGGUGGAAUAUGCAGGUGCUUGGAGGAGCAUUUGGUGGAACGCUCGAGAUGUAAUAAUAUCAAAUUUGAAUAUGUAUUUGAUUUUUAGUUUGUUUGUAAUAUUAUGAAUUCGAUGAUACAUUUAUCAAGUUUACGUAAGAUUUUAAUGUAUUAGUUUAAAGAUA